CAGUAGCCGCGGUAAUACGAAGGGUGCAAGCGUUAAUCGGAAUUACUGGGCGUAAAGCGUGCGCAGGCGGUUAUAUAAGUCAGAUGUGAAAUCCCCGGGCUCAACCUGGGAACUGCAUUUGAGACUGUAUGGCUAGAGUGUGUCAGAGGGGGGUAGAAUUCCACGUGUAGCAGUGAAAUGCGUAGAUAUGCGGAGGAACACCGAUGGCGAAGGCAAUCCCCUGGACCUGUACUGACGCUCAUGCACGAAAGCGUGGGGAGCAAACAGGAUUAGAUACCCCUGUAGUCCCUGUCUCUUAUAC
rnacentral:rRNA from 1 species